GGCUCCAUUGUGUAGUGGUUAGCACGUCUGCUUUACACACAGAAAGUCCUGGGUUUGUGCCCCAAGUGGAGCCA
rfam:Pteropus alecto contig81903, whole genome shotgun sequence.